rnacentral:rRNA from 1 species
GACGAACGCUGGCGGCGUGCCUAAUACAUGCAAGUAGAACGCUGAAGAGAGGAGCUUGCUCUUCUUGGAUGAGUUGCGAACGGGUGAGUAACGCGUAGGUAACCUGCCUGGUAGCGGGGGAUAACUAUUGGAAACGAUAGCUAAUACCGCAUGAUAUUAAUUGUCGCAUGAUAAUUAAUUGAAAGAUGCAAUUGCAUCACUACCAGAUGGACCUGCGUUGUAUUAGCUAGUUGGUGAGGUAACGGCUCACCAAGGCGACGAUACAUAGCCGACCUGAGAGGGUGAUCGGCCACACUGGGACUGAGACACGGCCCAGACUCCUACGGGAGGCAGCAGUAGGGAAUCUUCGGCAAUGGGGGGAACCCUGACCGAGCAACGCCGCGUGAGUGAAGAAGGUUUUCGGAUCGUAAAGCUCUGUUGUAAGAGAAGAACGGGUGUGAGAGUGGAAAGUUCACACUGUG